AGAGAUUCUGGUUGAUCCUGCCAGUAGUCAUAUGCUUGUCUCAAAGACUAAGCCAUGCAUGUCUAAGUAUAAAUGUUACACAGUGAAACUGCGAAUGGCUCAUUAAAACAGUUAUAGUUUAUUUGAUAAUCAAACUUACAUGGAUAACCGUGGUAAUUCUAGAGCUAAUACAUGCUGUUAAGCCUGACUUUUAGGAAGGGCUGUAUUUAUUAGAUAACAAACCAAUAUUCCUCGUGUCUAUUGUGCUGACUCAUAAUAACUGAUCGAAUCGCAUGGACUUUGUCCGCGAUACAUCAUUCAAGUUUCUGCCCCAUCAGCUUUCGAUGGUAGUGUAUUGGACUACCAUGGCUUUAACGGGUAACGGAGGAUUAGGGUUCGAUUCCGGAGAGGGAGCCUGAGAAACGGCUACCACAUCUAAGGAAGGCAGCAGGCGCGUAAAUUACCCAAUCCUGAUUCAGGGAGGUAGUGACAAGAAAUAACGGACCGGAGCCUAUGUUCCGGGAUUGCAAUGAGUAGAAUUUAAACCCCUUUACGAGGAUCAAUUGGAGGGCAAGUCUGGU
rnacentral:rRNA from 1 species